GCCCUCUUAGCCUAGUCGGUAGAGCAUCCGCUUAGUACGCGGAAAGUAGCCGGUGAGAUUCCUGCAUAGGGCU
rnacentral:tRNA from 1 species